ensembl:misc_RNA 7SK 7SK RNA
GAAUGUGAGGGAAUUGGCUGCAACAUACAUAACCCCAUUGAUUGACAUGGUUGAUUUAGUUUACAUGUUUUGCUAUGCAACAUCCUCUUUUACCACUCCAUGUAUGCCCCUCCAAAGCUUCACACUUGGUUGGAAAAAAAGACUUUUUCCAAAUCAAGGAGGACUUGUCUUUUUCAAAGGAAUACAAGUAACUGUACUCCACUGAUAGAAUUUCCAAUCAAGCUUUCAAUUUUCAAAACCUUUCUUUUGGUUUUGAUUGGGAUUAUAUCUUAGUUC